GGAAAUACAAGUAGAAAGUUUGUCCCUCUGUUCUGUAUAAUUGGUCUCUAUACUUCUAAUAUUGCAGUGAGAAUAGUACAAUGCAAAUGAUUUCAGGGGCUUGUUUGUUUGUUUGUUUGUUUUUUUGUAAAGGAUUUUAAACAAAAUUGUAGAAUACACUUCAGGACUCCUUUUCUAUCCCAUUGCACAUUGUAGUUAAGGGUGGGAAAGCAUAUUGCUCUGGGUUUUUUUUAUGCUUCUGUUAAAGCUAAAGAAUUGAUGUCAGUUGUUUUUCCUUAGUUUUCUUGCUUUGCUUUUAGUACAUGUAAAACAUUUCUUGUAUUAUUUAAAUGUAUUUAACUAUUCCUUGCUUUAGUAUUUAAAAGAUUAGUUUUAUAUCAACCAAAGCACAUUUGGAUUAAGAUUUAUUGGGGAUUCAGUAAACUCGCACUUUUUCUUUGAAUUUAUCUAAUUUUUAGGAGUUAACUGCCUGGGAAUUAGAAGAAAAAGAUAGAAGACUAGAACACAAACCCUAAAGGUUCACCUGACCUAAUAAUGUCUAGGUUUCAGUUUUAUUAAAUCUUUAUGUUUGGAAAUUUCAACUUCAGCUGAACUAGCUUUGCUCUUAACUGCAGCCCUUGUCCUGUAACUAUGGAAUCCAUUUCCAAAUUAUUGAAAGUUUAUCUUUAAAGAGCUAAUAUGCUCUCUAGGUAGGAAAUUACGAAAAAAGGUGAAAACAGUUGAGAGAUCCAUAGCAACAGAUUUUCUCUUGCAGCUGGCCAAAACAGUCUAACUAAUGGUCUGAGAAAAACAGUUUUUCUCUUUUUUUUUUUUUUUUUUUUUUCCCAUGUAGUUCAUUGGCAAGCUUCCUGCAGUAGCUGCUUUGACAGAUAUAAAAUUGCCUGUCUUUAUUGCAUGGUCUGUCCGCUGCCAGAUUUCCUGGCCAUUCUUUUUCCAGUGGAUACCAUGGUGCUUUACCGAGAUGUGGGGAUGUAAAAUUCAGUGAACAGUGAAGUUCUCAGAUUAUUUUCAAUUAAUUCCUUUUAAAUAAUUUGUAUUUCUGUCUUCUUUAUAAUAAUUAUGGUUGUCACGGAGCUAUCUCUACAUGUUCUUUGCACAUCAUGCUUUGCCAUUGGACUUCCAAUAGGAUGCAGGAAGCUACAAAGCUUUUGUUGAUGUUCCCUAUUGAAAUGCAACUUGUAGUGAGAAUCCUAUGAAAAAGGAGCAGGUUCCCAACUGAAAACUAAAACUGCUGUAUCCUCUCUGGAAUAGGGAUAAGAGAGAGAAAGGCAGGUUGUGAUUUUUGUCAGGUGCACUGUGAAGGAUGGGAAUGCAGCUGCUUUCUGCAUGGGGUUCAGAAUGAACGUAGUAGGGCAGAGUUAGCAGCUCGGCGAAUUAGGUGGCAACUCAACACUGCUUGCUGCUUGUAACCAUCAUUAAAAUGCUUGCACACACAGUCAUCUGGCUGGACUGCCUCACUUAGCUAACCAACAGCUUGUUUAUGAGGACAGAAAAUGAUAAGGGGAAUAGAAAAUUGGCCAAAAAAAAAAAAAAGGCAGGAAAGUUGUGUCUGUAGUGCAGUGUUGAAAAAAAGUGGACAAAAGGACUCCAUAGCUAGAAAAACUAUAUAACUUAUUUUUAUGGAAUUGAUAGUUAUGGAAAUCUAUGAACAGAAUGUUCCUCCAGAUAGAGUGCUUUUACUGUUUUAGUACCUGAAAUAAUAGAGAAUGGCUUUGCAAAAACUAUGGUGGCAAAAAGAUUUUUUUCCAGGUACAAAAGACAUUUUCUUUUUUGUUUUGUUGCUGCUCUUUUUUUGUUGUUGUUGUUAAUUUUCUUUUUUUUUUUUUUCUUUUUCACUAGCUGUUAGCUUGCGAUAACAGCUCUCUACUGCUGCAAACUGUCAGUGUGUGCAUAUAUCUUUUCUGUGCUUAUGGUGAAUCCAACCGUCAUCUUAAAAAAUAACUGUUUGUUUCUGUUAGUAAAAACGCUGGAGAUGGACCAGAAGGUGCAGUAACAAAGGGAGUAAAAGGAUUGGGAUGCCAGCUGAAAUACUGUUGAGGUAGACUGGGACUGGGAUUUAGGGAGGAAUUGUAAAUUGACUGCCACAGAUGUAGGAAAUCUGAGUUGAUAGCUCAGCAGAUUGUGGCACAAAGAUGUGAAGUCAUCUCUUACCUGCAUAAUGAAGAGACUGGGAAGAUGGGUGGGGGAGAGGAGUUGAGGGGAGAUAUGUUGUUUGAGAAACUGAUCCACUGAGAGGAAAUUAACGCUGUAAGUUGGUGUCACAGCACCCAAGGUAGCCCCUACCUAAGUGUGAUGGGAAGUCUGUGAAAGUAAGCUUUGCUUUCAGAGUUAAUGAAAUUGGGGAAAUGUUUUGGAGUGAUCAGCUGGGAUCUAGAGAAUAUACUAGAAGGUUGUUCCAUGGUCAACAAAGUACCCAGAAUUCAUGUCCUCUGCUGGUACGUCUUCUAUAGCAGACUCCUUCCACUUCUGAAGUCAGCUUUUCAGGGAUAUGUCCUUUUGUUAUCAGUGGCUUAAUUCAGAGCCCAUACCAGCUGGAGCAUUAAUUGAUUUGCAGAAAACUUACAUUUCUCUUAAGACUGGCUUUCAGUACUGACAUUCAAAAUUGCUAUAUGUUAAUACAAAUUUACUGUUUCUAUUUGCUAAAUUAUUUGCUUCUAUUUGCUAAAUUAUUUAUGUUUUUUUUAAACAUUUUAGUAUUCAUGAAACUGUUUUGUCUUUUGUAAGAUCUUUUUCUCUCCCUUUACCCUGCUGAUGUGCCUUCCAGACGUGAUUUCCACGUCCCUCUCAGCUGCAAGCUGACAUCAUCCCUUGAUGUUCCUUGUUUGAUGCCCAUUCAAACAUAUUCCGGUGGAAUGGAAGUUACCAGCAAUGAGAGUCAGAUUUUGUUGCAUUCUCAUGCUGAAUUCUGCUCAUGAUAAGGAAUGGCCAAUAAAGUGGGCCAAUAAAGCACUUUCAGACUGAUUCACUAACAGCUCUGCAUGAAAGGAUUAAAUUUCCCAUUUGAGAACUCAAGAUGUCAAGUGUAGUCCACUGAAACAAAAAGACUACUCCAAAGAAAUACAAAAAUAGAUGUAUAUAGAACACAAUUUUAAAAAAAAUUAAGCUUUUUGGGACAGAAUCACUCUUUAAUAAUAUAUUUUAUUAUAUCUUACAUGAAGUUUAAAAGAAUAGUACAAUACAAUCAAAAUUAUUCAAUUGUAGUUAAAAGUUAAGGUUAAUUCACAGUAUCAUAAUGUUUUGAAAUACUGUACUUGGAACUAAAUUUUUAUUUUUCUCUUUUGAGUGGGCUAACGAAAAACUGACACAAUUCUUUAAGAACUUGAUGUCAAGAGAAGUACCUGCUUUCCAGCUUGUUGACUAAUUAAUUAAUUAAUGUUCAAUAUGCUCUGCUCAGUUGCAGAGCAACUCAGUUCAAAACCUUGCAAAGACACUAUAGCAGAUAACAUGGGAAUAAGUUGUGUUAAAUAGUGAUCAGCAUGGGUUCCUGUUUUCACUUCUGUGGCCUUUAUAAAGUCUGUAUAUUUUCUCUGGGUGUUCAGCACUUGUGGAGGGUUUAGCAGGUUUGUGGGUACAGUAAGAUUUGUGGUCUUUCUGCCAUUAUCUCAGAUAUGACUUAGUGAUUGUGACCAGAUCUUUUUUAAGACUAAAAAAAAAAAAGUUAGAAAUACUAACUCACAAUUCCAAGAAAAAUACAAUACUCAGGAUACUCACCAUAAUUCUGAAUUGUGAGACCUCAUAAAAAUAUCAGAGAGUGUAAGGCUAUAAUACAUUUUAGAGAGUGUACUAUAAUUCUGAGAUUGCAAAGCUGGUUUCUUCUGUAACCUUGAUAUCUACUGAGUAUUUUCUGAAAGCAACCCAUUUAAUUUAGCUUUUCACAAGGCAUAUUAUAUAAUUUUAAUCUUGAAUAUUAUCAUAUUGAUUUAUUAUGUUUGUUUUCCCAUAAACAAAAAUCGAACAGUAAUAAAUUGAGAGUGUGCUCCCCCUGCAGUCUUUUAACAAUAAACUUUUUUUUUUUAUUAGACUUUUUUUUUAAACUGUGGAAUUUGUAAAUUUAGGGUUUUUGGAGUUUACAAUAUUAAACAGUGCAAUAAACCUUUGAGCUGCACAGAGAGGUUUUUUGUGUGGAAAUUAACUACUAUAGAGUAGUUAUGUAAUGUAAUUAUAGUUUCAUAUUAACAAGUGCUCAUAAAUUACAUAUAUAACAUAAGUCAUCUGCAAGCUGAAGACUUAGGUGAGGUUUGAAUGAAGAAGGGAUGGUCAGCUUGGAAUUAAACAAAUGUGUUUUCUCCACUGCAGUGAUGUCAUGUAGCAGAGUGCACAUGUAGCAGCUGGUACAUAAUCUGAAUAUCAAGUUUGUGAAGGUGUUAGACUGGUAUCACUGAGUGACCUGGAAACCAGAUCAUGCCUGGCACAACACAGUCUUAGGGUUCUGAAAAACACCUGCCAUGUUCUGCUUGUGAGAUCUUGUUCUUAUGGGAAGGUGUAGCUCUGGGUCUUAGGAGUAUUUUUAUGUGCUGGUUAAAGAGCUAUGAUAGUUGAUGAAAAUAACAUUAAAGUUAUGGUAGUGUCUGCAAAUGUAGUAGCUGAGAUCUGAAAAACCUUCUAGCAUCUCAUAUUUGAAAAGUUUAAAACUGAACCCCUGCUAUUCUUGAUAAUGUUUACAAGAACAACAGAAAGUUGAUAUGAGUUUAGGUAUCAUACUUCCCCAAUAUACUUUUUGUAGAUUAACAUAUGAGAUGUAAAUAUUCACCAGCACAACCUCCAAAAGACAAAUAAAAUCCCUAUACAGAACACAAACACUCAUAUAUGUUUUCAAAGUGACUGUGAGAUUACAUAUUUUACUGUUUUGACCUAUAAUGAGUCCUGAGACUAUGGUGAACUCACUUAUAACAUGUCUCAAAAUGUAACCACAAUACAUGUGACAGAUUAUUGUUAAUUACAGAGCUUUUUCUCACUAAAUCUCAUGUAACCAUUGAAGAGUAUAUGCACUUCACUUUUAAGCACUGAGAUGUAAGCACCCCAAAGAAAACAAUCAGAAAAUAUUUGUGUGUCAAAGCAAUAAUUUCUGCUUUUGAAGGUACACGAGGUCACAGGACAAUAUUUCAUGUUUCAUAGGUGUAACAGCAAUUUCAUACUCUUCUCCUACAAGCAGGGCCUGAAUCUGAGCUCUGUUUCUACCAAAAUAUCCCCUGACAGCAGCAACAGAUGGGAAGCAGUAAGUUACGUGAUUCUAAGGCCAGAUGGGAGAGAGAUGUUCACUUCAUGAGCAUCAUUAAAGGAAUGGUUUGUUACUAGUUUGAAAUAACUAUAUUAAGACUUCUGGAUAGCCCCCUAUGUCUUUAAGUGAGACAGAAUUCAGUGUCUUUGACCAAUUUUUUUUUUUUUUUCUAUUCCAAGAGGCUGUACCCGUCCUACUAAAUUAGGUUCCCAUUAAAAAUCUGUGGUUUGCAAAUGAAACCCAGCAAGUAGUAGACUAACAGGAAUCUUAUUGAAAAAAAAAUUCAGUCACCAAGGUGAGCAGCUCUGGUGCUGACACAAUCCAUAGCAGAGCACCCUGGUGACUGCUUCACCUCCUGAGAUGCCCUGGCAUAAUCAUUAUGAGGCUCUGUAAAUGGAGGUGAGUGAUUGCCAGGACAAUGCUUCCUCUACCUUGGAGGUGUCAUUGAGGUUAAGUCUGUCUAUCCUGUGUCCAAACUGCAUCCGUAAAGGAAAAAGCAGGGGUACUUUUCAUUGGAAAUUCAUUUCUGAUGAGGUAGAGAGGAUCCAAAAUACAGACAUUGCCUACUUUGUAGGGGAAUCUGUUGCCUCUCUAGAGCUGGGAUGCACAUGAGAAGAAGAACAAUCCCACCCUGGAACACCUGUCAGAUUACUAUCCAUUAUUGAUGGUUCAGGUAGGCAGUGAUAAAACUGCAACAAAAAGUCCAAGGGCAAUCAAGAGACACUUCAGGUCUUUGUGAUUACUAAGUAAAGGAUCAGGGCACAAGAAAUGUUUCCCUCUAUCCUUUUAGGCACAGGGAAUGAGGGAAGAAAUAGCAGAUCAAUAUCUGGCUCCAAGCCAGUUGUCAACAGCAGAAUUUGGGAUUUGUUAUCAUGUGUCAGUUUACACAACACUGAGCCUGUUGGCGACAGAUGGGUACACCUGUUUCAAAUGGGAAAAACGAUCUUUGUGCAGAAAUUAGCAGGACUCAAAUAAAGACCUUUAAAUGGGUUUUGAUGGGGAAAAGGAUAAACCAGGCUCACUAGAGAAAAGCCUGGGAGCAGCACAACAAUGUUUGUGGUGUGUACAAGUGAGGUGCUUUGAUCUGCCAUCUCUGUGGAGGUAGGGGAUAGAGAGUCAUCCAACAGCAGACAUGGAAGGGUUACCAAUGUGUUUGAAACACAUUUUGUGUGGAAAAGCCCAGAAUGAUCAAAUGGGAAUUUAGGCUUCUCCCCUAAAAAAGGGGCAUAUUUGCCAGAGUCUGCUGUUAUAAGAGGAGGAUCUGAGUUGGUUUAAAUAAUUUGAAUUUAACCCAGCUGUAAUACCUGAGAUUAUUCACUAAGGAUUUUCAGGAUACAAGGAAAACGAAGCAGGGUGUUAUCAGUCAAUGAUGAGAGCUAAAACAGCAAAAAGGGCUCUCUAACCACAUAUUAUGGUCUGAUGAACUGCAGUAGGAAGCAUUGCCUUUGUAGUACUGUCUUUGUAUUAUUGUUAUUAGGAGUUUUCUGUGUAUAAAGGACAUAAGUUAUAAUCAUUACAAUGCUGACUAGCAUUUUCAUGAGCAGGAAAUCACAAAUUUGAAAAGAAACCAUUAUUAUCCUUACUAAGAUGUUUCUGUGAGUAUUAUGGAAUAAAAGCAAAGUACUUGCUAUUAUUUUAGUAAUGGUUGGGAAAAGCAGUAAGUUAUGUGAUUCUAGAGCCAAAUAAAUUAAUGUGUGCAGAACAAGCUACACAUAAACCCUCUUUAUAGAAAAGCUAUGACAAAAGCUCUCCACUAUUGCAGGUUUUGGCGCAUUUUUGCACUCAGGUGCAGUUGGUGUCAUUCUUAAAGGCUUUUGGCAAACCAUGGCUGAAGAGAACAAAAAUUAAAUGCAUCAAUAUUAUGACUCUUUACAACACACAAGAAUAUCCCGAAGGGCCAGUCUUUAUCUUGUGAUAAACAACUUUCUCUACAAUUGAAAUAAGUAUCUUCUGUUGUAACCAGUAGUGGCCUUUUUCAUGUUGACUAAAGCAGUUGAAUUCCAAAACUGAAUUACUUAACUGUAAAAGUUUUCCAUUGUAAUAAUAUUAAGGAUUUAUCCACUCUAGUCAACAUUCUUGCAGACUUUAAAAUAUUUUUACAGCAUUUGGAUAAUUUUUUAUUAUGUAAACUUGCUGCAAGUUGUAUUAUUUCAAAAUAUUCUUUUUUUUAAAUCUACAGUUCAAGCUUUUAUUAUUUUUUUUCUUGCAUUUUAAUUGAAUCUACAGUAAGCAGCAGUGGUUAGAUGUUUGAGCUCUCAGUUUCAGUUUUCUCCAUUUUCAUUAUGUCAAAAUGAUUUCCAUUUCACAAGACUUUGCUUCCUCUCUACAUGUGUAAAACUUUUAAGUCAACCAUUUUGGCAGAAGUACUCUGUCUGUAAGUAAAAAUAAAAACAUGACCCAGGCAAGGACUUGUGACCCAGGGAUCUUUAUUUAGCCUGGACAGAUUUUUAUCAGCCAUACACUGCAGAAAAGAGCUUGAUAAUAGAAUGUGAUAAGCUUGAUGUUAAGAAAUCCAUAUUGAAUAGGAAAUAUGGUUGGAAAUUAAUUUCUAACAUCAAUCUCUUUAGGCCCAUAGUGUGUAAAUUUCUUUCCUAUUUCCCAUAAAUUGAUACAAAUUUAUGUUAUGUUCUGCUAGAAAACUUAAAGCUUAAGAGGGAUAUAGGGAUACAAUUGCUCUUCUAAUUUAGUUCUACUUUUUUUUUUUCUUUUUCUCCUUCAUUUUUUUCCCCUGUGUUCUCUUAUUCAAGUCUAGAAUCAGAAUAAUUUAGGUUGGAGACUUCCUCUGGAAGUCAGCCUGUCCAACCUCCUGCUCACAGCAGGGCCUACCUCAAAGUUGGAUCUAACUUCAAAGUUGGCUCAUGCUGCUUGGGGUCAUAGCCAUCAAAGUUUUGAAUAUACAAAGGAUUUUAAAUGGAAUUUUCUUCUUUACUUUCCAAGGAUGAGUUUUGAUUUAGUUUAGAACAAUACUUUUUAUUUUAUUAUAUUUUUAUUUUAGUUUAUUGUAUUUUUGUGGAAUUUUUUGUGAGUUUUGGAUAGGUAAUUUCUUAGCCAAGUAUGCAAGAACAUAUAAUUUUUUUUUUUAUUCUAUGGUUUAUAGUGAAAUCACCCUAGGCACAGGUUUGAUUAGAUUUAUUGUGGUGACUCAAGUCAAACAAAAAAUGUGGAAACAAUAAGCUCCAGUUACUGCAACUGUGGUCAGUUUUUAUAUAAAAGCUGGAAGUGGAAUUAUCUCUGCUUCAGCAUAUUGGACAGUAUAAUUUUAGCAGUCAGCUAAAAUAGCAGCAAAAGGCCUUAAGUUGUAGUUUAAAUUUUCACAGAAAAUGCAUUUAUUUAUUUAUAAUUUGUUUAAUGCCAUGAAACAAUUAAUAAAAUGCUGAGACUGAAUAAAAUUAAUGAAUCUGCUGAAUAUCAGCUGUGUUUUAAAGCAGAGGAUGUGCUAUUUUAAUAUCAAAACCAGUAAUGAAAAAAGUUUAGUUUUGCUUUCCUCUUUUUCGAAACCACAGCAUUUAACUAGUAGGUAGUUUAAUGACAACUAUAGGUAUUAAUUUAGCUUAGUUAUCAUCAUACAAUAUUUAUUAAUUUAUUGAAGAUAAAAGAUUUCAACAUUUAACCUAAUUUCCCAAUAAAUAUCACUGGCCUCUUAAAAGAUAAUCUAUUUUUGUCUAAUUAUAUUUUGAAAUUUUUGUUUCUAAUUGCAGGGAUACAUGUUGUCUCCUACACUUAGUUUUAUAAUUUAAAAAAAUCUGUGAGUAAAACAGCUGAUACUUAGCAAGAAGGACAAAGGAUUUUUAUGUCUUCACUAUGUCAUGAUUGUCUUUAAUACCGGGAUUUCUGAGACUCCAGCAUGUAUUGCUGCCAAGAUGUCUUUUAUUCAAAAUACAGAUAGCUCAUGACCUUGCACUUUCACUGCAGUAUCUGAGCAUGUAUUUCCAUUCAACUACAAAACUAUAUGCUAAGCUUAUGGAUUUAGAAUAAAGUCUAAAGAUUCUUUCUUGACAUCUUCACAAUCUUGAAUAGAUUUAUUCUCUGUAUGUGAUACACUUGCUCCUAUUGUAUUUUUGUUGCUAUUCAUCCUAAAAGUCUGGAUAAAAUUACAUUGUCUAAAACAUUGAAUGCUCUCAAAAUUGUUGUUAGGAAUUCUUCCUAGGGAGUUUUCAUCUAUUUUUUUUUUAUCUGCUUUUUUAAGUCUAUGUUGAAGUCUAAGAUUAUUAAACUGGUUGAUGUAUCUAUAUGAUAGUAACAAAAAUGAGUGGUAAAUAGAAUUUAUUUGAACUAUUAGCAAGAUUUUUGGCAUAGAUUUCACUGUAAAAAUAGACUGGUGAUAUAGGGGCUAGAAAAACUGACUAGAAGGUGAGUGGGAAACUAAUAUGGCUAGGCCUAAGUAUUGAGAUUAAUGAAGGCUAACUAAGACUGUCUUUGAACCAAAGGCAAAUGUUGAAAGAAGGUUUUAUUUAGUUUCUCCAGCUUUUAUCCUUAACAUUUCAUAAUUUCUGAUUAAAAGUAUGAAAAUAGUGUCUUGACCACUCUCAUGCUGAAUAUGUCAGUAAGUAUGUGAAUUGAUUACAGAAGUUUUGCCAAUAUUGUUUUGGAAGGAAUAUUUAGGCAGUCAGACAAACUACAAUGCAAGUUUUGGAUUGGGUUUGUUUGGCUUUUUUUUAUUUUCUUCACAAAAACCAUAGUAAAUUUGGCUUGGUGUACUGAAUAUAUGUGGAGUCAUGUAGAAGUUCUAAUAGUGUUCAGUAUGUUUUUAUUUUUAGUCUCUCUAGAGAUGUAAAAUUUUCAUACUUCCUUUUAGGCCCUUUCCUCCUCCUGAAUAACUUGGGAAGUUUCUUGAAGAGUAAAUGACUUGAAAACCAAAUUCUACUCUUUAUUGAGGGAAAACUUCAGCAUUUGUUUUCAUGCCCUCAUGUUUGAAAAUUUUCUUGGGAGGCAUAAGACCUAUACUUGAAAAUUCAAAAUAAUUACUUCUUUCUACUUCCUCCUUCAUUGAUUAUUUAUCUACAGCUUUUUGAAGAGAUGUUUGAAAAUCUGCAAGUGGCAGCAAAUUGGAGCAAAAUACCUGUCAUUUCUGUUCUGUUGCAAUAAUUUAAAUAAUUAACUAUCUGAGGUUAUCCAUGUAAUAAUCUUCUUUACCAAGGACAAAAGAGUCAAUUUUCAAAGUAGCCCUAAAUUAUUAUUCAACAGUUUUUCAUUUGAAAAGUCCAGCAUUAUUUGGAGUAAGAUCAUAGGACACUAAUAUAUUUCAUAACAAAAGUAAAGGUUAUUGUGAUGAGGUAGUUACAUGCUGUUUCAUUAAUGGUUUUUGUUCUGUGAAAUUUGGUAAGCAACAGGUUGGUGUUUUUCUGAAGAGUUUCUUCAGCUUAACUGGAAAUAAAUGGUCACAUAAAGCAUAAAAUUUUUUGCUACAUUUAUGUCCUAUGUCUGUUUUAUCUCUGCACUGCAAAAUACAUCCUUUAAUACUUCCUGAUAAAAUUCAGAAGACCUUGUAAGUCAAUGGUAAAUUGACUACAGAGGUAAAUUUUUGCAAAAUGGAAAGGAGUCAUUUAAAGGUUUACAAUGAGUCAUUAAAAUUGGCAGUAAUUUUACUGGGAACCCUUGCUAGGAAAUGCUAAAAAGUUGCAUAAAGACAUGUCAACAUUUGAAGCAAGUAGUGAGAGUAAAGCAUAAACUGACCUAUGCUUGAAAUAAAACAUUUCUAACAGAAAAAUAUGCAUAUUUGAGGUGUGAAUGUAUAAGGUCAUUUGAUAAUUUAUGUGCAACCAAAAGUCUGGUCAGAAGUAACAUCCAAUUAGUGCUUUACAAAAGAAAUACAUCUCCAGUUACAUUCGUAAUAAGCAGUGCCUUAAAGUGAAGUCAGAAGAACAGAUUUUAUUCUGGUGAAUGUCUAUACAUGAAAGAGCAUAGAUGUGGGUCUCCUGGACAUUUAGAUAUAUUUUUUUAAAUUUCUAAAUGAAAGUUUGUAUUUUAUGCCAAAUGACUGUAAGUGCAUAGAUACACAUAGUUGAGGAUGUGAUAACCAGGCACUACACAGCAUCUGGGCCAACCGAGAAUAUGGGGAACAAAAAUAAAAUAACUGGAUUUUAGCAAAUAUUGACUCAGGAGUAGCUGUAUGCGUAUCUUAACUUUUAUCCAUUCAUUACCUUAAGGAUGAAAUAAUUUCCAUUGCAUUCCCCUAUAACACAUUGUCAGUGUCUGUGCAAUGCUGCAACAAAUAAAUAUUUUUUAUUAAAAAUGUGGUAUAUGCAAUAAGUCUUUUCACUAAAUAAGCAGACUAGGUUGAUCUCCCUUGAUUUUGUUUUCAAAUUACUUUGAGAUACAAACAAAUUAGAGCAGUUUGAAAUUCACUGUUCCCCAGUCAGCAGUAAAGAAAACAACACAAAUUAAAUUAACCUGAUGAUAGGGCUGAGUCUCGAGUUGAGAUGGAAUCAGUUUCAGUCAGUUUGGUCCCAGAUAGCUUUCUUAGCAUCCAUAGUCACUUUUGAGGACUUUUAAAGGGUGUUUUCCAACAGGAAUAUCUGACUUGUAUCUAAUUACAAGUAAUAUGGAGUUCAAAGGAACACACUGUCAAUUAGUGCUCAGUCUCAACAAGUGAGACUUUAUUAUCAACAUCAUUGUACACCUCCAUUAAGGGCAGAUGUUGCAUGCAAUUGAUUGGCAACUUUCCAAUUACUUUGGUUUUGUUUGUGCCAUGAAAAUGUUACAUUCCACUCAAAAGAACUUCAGCUUCUCUAAAGCUGCUCUAAGAAGAAAAUUAUUCUUGUUUGAGGACGAUAAAAGAAUACUCUGACUCAGAUGUGUGUCAAAGUAUGUGUGAUGACUUCUAUGGUUCUGAUCACUAUUUAAAUAUUAAUGGCUUAUAGGAAAUCUGUAUGUUUGAAACAAAAAAGAUAUAAAACCAAUGUGUUUUGUUUUUUCAUGCCUCUGCACUGCAGUGUAGAAUGGCACAGUUUUCAGGCUAAGGAUGUGAGCUCCUAGUGGCUAUUGGCAUAAAUAAGGGACAGCUCAAUCCCUUACCCUUUAUUUCAUCUUACUUUUCUAUUUGUAGCAUGACCAUUUCUUUUCAUGUUUCUUUGCUUUCCAGGCAUACUUUCUAGAACCCUUUUUAAGCAGAAUUCAGACAGCUAAAUGCCAGGGAUGUAGGAGGUAAACAUUUCACAGGAAAUUAACAUAAAGUAAUCUGUGAUUAGGCUGACAAAAAUGGGGAUAAAUAGCACUGGAAUUAUUUUUAGAGGUGUUUUUUUUUGUUUACUUGGGUUUUGGUUUUUGGGGUUUUUUUUAAAAUUGAUUACCUAAGUAGGAUUAAUAGUGAGGUGUCAGCUUAAAAUAUUAAUUUACUGGUAUAUGUAAAGACCUAGGCAACCAAUCUGCAGAUAUAUAUUUCAAAAAGAGUUAGAGGUACAUAUUUGAGUAUUAUCUAUAUAAUAUUUUGUGUUUAAUUGAAUAAGUGUGCAGAUUACUUUAUUUCCAUUUCAUACAUCUACUUUACCUGAUUAUUUCAAGGUGUGGUCACUGGUAACCUCACGCGAUUUAAAAAAGAUUGUAAUAUUGUGUUUUCUUUGCAAAAAUACAGCACCAAAAAAAAGGAAAAAAAAAAACUGUCUUAUAGUACUGAGCUUUCCAUAGAAUCUCUAGUUUAUUGUAGUUUAGUAGAAUAAGAUAUUACUUGAUGUGAAUUUUUGUGGGAAGUCUCAGUAAAAAUAAGAUCUCUGAUUUUACUCUAUUGAGGAAAUGUUGGAGUUAGAUUUACUUCUUACACAAAUUCUAGAUAGAAGCAGUAACAUUACAUAAUUAUGGAACAUGACCUUGUGAUCUGAAGCAAAGACAGCUUUGUACUCCAUCCAUUCCCAUAAAUUUGUACAAUUUAUCUUAUGAAGUAGGAAAUAAUUGAAAAUAAUGUGAAUUGGAAAUUGCACAGAGACUGUCGGAACAAAGUCCAUAAAUUCUACCUAGCCACUUUUAUCACCUCUCACUAUGCUAAACAUGGAAAUUAUAGCUUGCAACCUUUUCCAGUCUCAAAAUAGCAAUUUUCAGAAGUGAUGGUGCCUUCUGUAAUCUGUAGGCAGAUGUUACAGAGUCAAUGGGUUGCUGUUUCUCUGUGCAAGGAGUACACAGCUGAUGUACUCUGCUUCACUGAAGAGGGGUGUCAUUCCUAGAAAAAAAAACAUCAAAAGAGAACUUUUAGGGGAUUUCAGCAUUUAUCAGUUAUAAUUUGACAUGGCUAUUUUGACUAAUAUAUAUUUCAAAGAGUUUUUAUGCUACUGUUCUGAAAAGCCAAAAGUAACAGUCUUUAAAACACGUUUUCAGGCAGACAAGUUUUAUUUCUUUUCCUUUUAGGAAAUUAGUCAUAAAGAUGAAGGUAUGACACCAUCACUGCUUGCAUCCAGAGCUGGAUGUGGUAUUGCAAUAGAAAUCUCCCCGCUAGACAACUGAGAUAGACAGCAACAGAGGUGAAAAAAGUGUAACUCAUUACUAUCUGUAAUACUAUAAAGAUAUCACAAGUACAGUAAACUUUCAAUAGCUUUAUGACUCUUUUUAGAGUUUAGUAAAAUGGCUUACUAAUUCAGAUGUCAGGCUCCAUCACUGACCAGGAGCUGGCUUCUUGGUGGGAUUGCAGGAGUCCCUUAUCUCUAGAAGACAUCUAUAUAGUUUGGGUGUCUUUGUCUAUGGAGACUUUUUGUGUUCCAGGGGUCCAUAUGAAAGAUUUUCUUUUGGAUUUUUCUUCUUUGGUUUUUCAGUUUUCACAUCAUUGGGUGUAACCUUGGUGCUUUUGAAGAGUCAAGGAAAAGUUAUACAUAAACCAAAGGUGUAGACAUAAAUUUGGAUACACAUAAUAAAGUAGAAUAAAAUUUGCAGUAACACUGAAAUACUUCCCUGAAGCAAUGGAAUUUUCUGCUUCCUCCUGAGACUUCUCUCAUUACAUUAUACCAAUGCACACAUGCAUAUACAUAUACUCAGAUAUAUUUAUAGCAAUUUCUGGUUUAUUUGUGUUGUUACUUCUGUGCUUAAUAUGUGUAUAAUCAGCGUGAAUCUAUUGAGUACUGGUUUAGUUCAGAGUAAUGACCACAGGAUUUGACAUUAGAGGCCAUAAAUCAAGCACUAUCACCUUACACUUCCGGCAACCACUAUAUUCUGAGUUAGUGCUGUGGAUGCAUCACUAUCCCAUGUAGAGAAAAGGCUGGGACAGAAACCCCCCAGGUGUACACACAUCGUGCUUUGAAAGUUUAUUUCACUCACUGCAGUGUACAAAUUUUAAUACUGUAUCAUGUGAUUGCUGAGAAAUCUUUUAAAUUGCUUUUUUGAUGGAAGUAUUCAUUUAGCCUCAACCUUGGAAAUGUGGCUGCUUGCUCUGAGGUCAUGGUGCCACUGAGGUGGAGGUCAGGAGCUUCUCACGUGCGAUGUGUUGCCAGGCUACAGCCUCAGUUAUUGCUCAAGUAUUUGCAGCAUUUAAUUUGUAAUAUUGUUGCUAAGGCAACUAGCUUAUUACAAAUUUCUGUUUGCAUUUCUAGAUGGAAGGAGCUGAUAAUUUGCAUUUCUUAGACUCUCAGCCCUGUUCCAAAAUUGUCUUUAGGUUUGCUAGAUCUUUUUUAAAUGCUAAGUUUAACUGACAUCUGUAAGGUUUUUUCACUGUACUUGAGCUCUCUUCUGACCUCUUUUGUGAGACCCUAUCAAGCUUUCCUUUACAUUAUUUUUUGAUCAUGCAGGAGAAAUCUACACAUUGUAUUCUUUUGAAAUUGAUGGAAAAGCAUCAAGGUGUUUUGUGUGAACUUAUUUUAUCCAGUUACAAGUUUUCUGUCUCUGUCUUACUGUUCCAAACUUGAGUCAUUUUUAUUAUGAACCUUGUGCAGCCUGGCCUGUUACAAAUUCACUAAUGUUAUAUUUUGUGUGAACAAUCUCCAGACAUAUACAGCAAUGAUUUUGAUUGACUGUUCCUUACUGCAGUUCGUGAUUACUUGCAGAAAGUCACUCUUGAUAGAAUUAGAUACUUUAUCUACUCAUUCUUCCUCAGUUGUUCCCUGAGUUGCAAUAACAUCACAACUGACAGCAAAAUUAAUAUCUUUCCUCGUCAGCAGAGAUGCCUCUUUCCUCAUGCUUUGUCUUCCAGAGUUCACACAAGCUACUUUACAUUUUAUGUUGGUUUUUAUUUGUGCAAUUUGCUUUGUCAUCACCGCAGAAUUCUCAAGUUCUUCUUUCCUGGAACAAGGAAAACAGUAAUUACUUUGCCUUUUAAGCAUGAAUUCCAUCCAUUUGUUGUCAAAUAUUGUACUAUUAGAUUCUGGAAACAUGAGUAGUAAUUAGCUCCACAGUUUCCUUCCACUUAUAUCAACAUUAGACCAAAUGGAUAAUAAUAUAAUAAAUAUAUAAUCACCUAGGAAAGGAUUUUUUAAAAUUAAUUACUUUAUAUUGGAAUUGCAAACAGAUGUCUAGCAAUAAUAGAGUGUUGUCAUGGCAGUCCUAAGAUACCACAAAUGUUUCCCACCUGUAUUUCAGUAUUUGUUAAAUUAGUUUUUCCUUUGAAGAGCAUUAGUAUUUACAGAGGAAUAAGUGCAAGGCCUUUGCAGACUUGCUAUUUUCCUACUUAAUAUGACUUUUGUGUAUAGUAUUUGUGAACCAGAUAAUUUGAUGCAGUGAACCAGCCUUAAUGCUUCCUAUUUUAUGAAACUUUCAGACAUUUAAUGAAAGUUCAUUUUCAUUAAUACACAAAAAUUACUAAAUUUUAUAAACAGGUUGGGAAAGUUAAUUUGCAAUUCUUCAGGCCUAUAAAUGAAUGAAUUUACUACGAGUUCUGCAAACUAAUGGAAGAUACAACAAGGUGGUUGUCAGAUAAAGGUUGCACUAAUGAAUAACAAGAUUUUUCAAAUUAUCUAGGAAUCUUAUUAAUAAAACAGACUGUCAUAAAGUAUUUAGGAGGUUCCCCUUAGGGGGAAAAUGAAAUGGCAGCUUUCUCUGGAGAAUGUUAAAAGAGGAACCAGCUUACUUUCAGUUUAAGACCUCUGCCAGUGUUUUAGGCAGGCUUAAAGACCUUUCUGGUGAAGCACAGAGUAAAUGCACAGGAUGCAACAGCUCCUACAGUGUAUUUGUCCAUCAUUCCUUAAUAUGACCUGGAGGAGGCAGUAGAAGGAAUGCAUGACUCCACUUUUAUUUCCUCUUUGACAGUAUUUACUCAUAUAUGUUACCAGGCUUUCCAUUGUCCUUGUGCACACAAUAGUGGAAACAGAAUUGUUGUGGCUUAACCUCAGCCAACUGCUAAAUACCACAUAGCCACUGGUUCAUACCUGCUCUCCCUGGGUGAAAUGGGGAGAAGAAUCAGAAAAAAAUAAAGGUAAAGGUGAAGGUUGAGAUAAGAACAGUUCAAUAUU